rnacentral:rRNA from 1 species
AUUGAACGCUGGCGGCAGGCCUAACACAUGCAAGUCGAGCGGAUGAAGGGAGCUUGCUCCUGGAUUCAGCGGCGGACGGGUGAGUAAUGCCUAGGAAUCUGCCUGGUAGUGGGGGAUAACGUCCGGAAACGGGCGCUAAUACCGCAUACGUCCUGAGGGAGAAAGUGGGGGAUCUUCGGACCUCACGCUAUCAGAUGGGCCUAGGUCGGAUUAGCUAGUUGGUGGGGUAAAGGCCUACCAAGGCGACGAUCCGUAACUGGUCUGAGAGGAUGAUCAGUCACACUGGAACUGAGACACGGUCCAGACUCCUACGGGAGGCAGCAGUGGGGAAUAUUGGACAAUGGGCGAAAGCCUGAUCCAGCCAUGCCGCGUGUGUGAAGAAGGUCUUCGGAUUGUAAAGCACUUUAAGUUGGGAGGAAGAGCAGUAAGUUAAUACCUUGCUGUUUUGACGUUACCAACAGAAUAAGCACCGGCUAACUUCGUG